CCUACGGGCGGCUGCAGUGGGGAAUAUUGGACAAUGGGCGAAAGCCUGAUCCAGCCAUGCCGCGUGUGUGAAGAAGGCCUUCGGGUUGUAAAGCACUUUCAGUGGGGAAGAAAGCCUUGGGGCUAAUACCCUCGAGGAAGGACAUCACCCACAGAAGAAGCACCGGCUAACUCCGUGCCAGCAGCCGCGGUAAUACGGAGGGUGCGAGCGUUAAUCGGAAUUACUGGGCGUAAAGCGCGCGUAGGCGGUCUGAUAAGCCGGUUGUGAAAGCCCCGGGCUCAACCUGGGAACGGCAUCCGGAACGGUCAGGCUAGAGUGCAGGAGAGGAAGGUAGAAUUCCCGGUGUAGCGGUGAAAUGCGUAGAGAUCGGGAGGAAUACCAGUGGCGAAGGCGGCCUUCUGGACUGACACUGACGCUGAGGUGCGAAAGCGUGGGUAGCAAACAGGAUUAGAUACCCGUGUAGUC
rnacentral:rRNA from 1 species